rnacentral:misc_RNA from 1 species
GAUGAAGAACGCAGCGAAAUGCGAUAAGUAAUGUGAAUUGCAGAAUUCAGUGAAUCAUCGAAUCUUUGAACGCACAUUGCGCCCGCCAGUAUUCUGGCGGGCAUGCCUGUUCGAGCGUCAUUACAACCCUCAGGCCUCCGGGCCUGGCGUUGGGGAUCGGCGGAGCCCCCCGUGGGCACACGCCGUCCCCCAAAUACAGUGGCGGUCCCGCCGCAGCUUCCGUCGCGUAGUAGCUAACACCUCGCAACUGGAGAGCGGCGCGGCCACGCCGUAAAACACCCAACUUCUGAAUGUUGACCUCGAAUCAGGUAGGAAUACCCGCUGAACUUAAGCAUAUCAAUAAGCGGAGGA